rnacentral:rRNA from 2 species
UGGGGGAUAUUGCGCAAUGGGGGCAACCCUGACGCAGCAACGCCGCGUGAAGGAUGAAGGUUUUCGGAUUGUAAACUUCUUUUAUUAAGGACGAAACUUGACGGUACUUAAUGAAUAAGCUCCGGCUAACUACGUGCCAGCAGCCGCGGUAAUACGUAGGGAGCAAGCGUUGUCCGGAUUUACUGGGUGUAAAGGGUGCGUAGGCGGCUUUGCAAGUCAGAUGUGAAAUCUAUGGGCUCAACCCAUAAACUGCAUUUGAAACUGUAGAGCUUGAGUGAAGUAGAGGCAGGCGGAAUUCCCCGUGUAGCGGUGAAAUGCGUAGAGAUGGGGAGGAACACCAGUGGCGAAGGCGGCCUGCUGGGCUUUAACUGACGCUGAGGCACGAAAGCGUGGGUAGCAAACAGGAUUAGAUACCCUGGUAGUCCACGCUGUAAACGAUGAUUACUAGGUGUGGGGGGUCUGACCCCUUCCGUGCCGGAGUUAACACAAUAAGUAAUCCACCUGGGGAGUACGGCCGCAAGGUUGAAACUCAAAGGAAUUGACGGGGGCCCGCACAAGCAGUGGAGUAUGUGGUUUAAUUCGAAGCAACGCGAAGAACCUUACCAGGUCUUGACAUCCAACUAACGAAGUAGAGAUACAUUAGGUGCCCUUCGGGGAAAGUUGAGACAGGUGGUGCAUGGUUGUCGUCAGCUCGUGUCGUGAGAUGUUGGGUUAAGUCCCGCAACGAGCGCAACCCUUGCUAUUAGUUGCUACGCAAGAGCACUCUAAUAGGACUGCCGUUGACAAAACGGAGGAAGGUGGGGACGACGUCAAAUCAUCAUGCCCCUUAUGACCUGGGCUACACACGUACUACAAUGGAUGUUAACAGAGGGAAGCAAGACAGCGAUGUGGAGCAAACCCCUAAAAACAUUCUCAGUUCAGAUUGCAGGCUGCAACCCGCCUGCAUGAAGAUGGAAUUGCUAGUAAUCGCGGAUCAGCAUGCCGCGGUGAAUACGUUCCC